UCUACAGUAAUUUGGAGAUGUUACAUUUUAAUAUAUUUCAGCAUAUGUUUUUCAUCAAAUGAAAUAAAAACUUUUUCCUUCUGUAAUCUAUUACAAAUCGAACUAUUUUAUUAAAAAAAUACUUUGAAUUCAAGAUAUCAAAGAAAUUGAUUACCUUCUAGAUUAUUAAAUCCCAAAUAUAAUUCUCUGAGUUGUGUCAGAUUUCCAAUACUUCUUGGAAUGAUCCCCGUCAAUUGAUUCAAGGACAAGGACAAAAUUUUAAGGUUGCUGCACUUGCCCAUACUUGACGGAAUGUUACCAGAUAACUCAUUUCUAUCUAAGUAAAGCCCUUCAAGCUUGGGAAGAUGUUGACACAUAUCAUUAUGAAAACUACCUGAUAGGCUAUUGUUGGAGAGAACAAUGGUCUUCAGAGAAGAAAUGUUGAAGAUCGAAGUUGGAAUCUGACUUGUAAGGCCUUUAAUUGCUUGAAUAUUAAGCAAUUCCAAACCAUGAAGAUUACCGAUUUCCUCAGGAAUUUGACCUGCACACAUAGUCGAAAAAUCAAGGUGUCAAACUACUUAUUUUGUUAGCAUAAGUCAAAGAGGUUUUCUUUUCUGUUCUACAAUAAUUUGGAGAUGUUACAUUUUAAUAUAUUUCAGAAUAUGUUUUUCAUCAAAUGAAAUAAAAACUUUUUCCUUCUGUAAUCUAUUACAAAUCAAACUAUUUUAUUAAAAAAAUACUUUGAAUUCAAGAUAUCAAAGAAAUUGAUUACCUUCUAGAUUAUUAAAUCCCAAAUAUAAUUCUCUGAGUUGUGUUAGAUUUCCAAUACUUCUUGGAAUGAUCCCCGUCAAUUGAUUCAAGGACAAGGACAAAAUUUUAAGGUUGCUGCACUUGCCCAUACUUGACGGAAUGUUACCAGAUAACUCAUUUCUAUCCAAGUAAAGCCCUUCAAGCUUGGGAAGAUGUUGACACAUAUCAUUAUGAAAACUACCUGAUAGGCUAUUGUUGGAGAGAACAAUGGUCUUCAG
rnacentral:lncRNA from 1 species